rnacentral:rRNA from 1 species
CAGCAGCCGCGGGAAUACGUAGGCAGCAAGCGUUGUUCGGAAUUACAGGGCGUAAAGAGUGUGUAGGCGGUGCUCUAAGUUCGGUGUGAAAUCUCCUGGCUUAACUGGGAGGGUGCGCCGAAAACUGGAGUGCUCGAGCGUGGGAGAGGAAAGCGGAAUUCCUGGUGCAGCGGUGAAAUGCGUAGAUAUCAGGAGGAACACCUGUGGUGUAGACAGCUUUCUGGACCAUAGCUGACGCUGAGACACGAAAGCGUGGGUAGCAAACAGGAUUAGAUACCCCAGUAGUCCCUGUCUCUUAUAC